rnacentral:misc_RNA from 1 species
CGCACAUUGCGCCCAUUAGUAUUCUAGUGGGCAUGCCUGUUCGAGCGUCAUUAAAUCCAUUAAGCCCUGUCGCUUAGCGUUGGGAGCCUGCGGCUUGCAGCUCCUCAAAAGUAGUGGCGGAGUCAGCGUGCACUCUAGGCGUAGUAAUCACCCACUCGCCUCUGCGUUGCGCUGGCGCCUGCCGUAAAACACCCAAUCUUUAUAGGUUUGACCUCGGAUCAGGUAGGAAUACCCGCUGAACUUAA